rnacentral:rRNA from 1 species
GAUGAACGCUGGCGGCGUGCCUAAUACAUGCAAGUCGAGCGAACAGACGAGGAGCUUGCUCCUCUGACGUUAGCGGCGGACGGGUGAGUAACACGUGGAUAACCUACCUAUAAGACUGGGAUAACUUCGGGAAACCGGAGCUAAUACCGGAUAAUAUAUUGAACCGCAGGGUUCAAUAGUGAAAGACGGUUUUGCUGUCACUUAUAGAUGGAUCCGCGCCGCAUUAGCUAGUUGGUAAGGUAACGGCCUACCAAGGGAACGAUGCGUAGCCGACCUGAGAGGGUGAUCGGCCACACUGGAGCUGGGACGCGGUCCAGGCUCCUACGGGAGGCAGCAGUAGGGAAUCUUCCGCAGAGGGCGAAAGCUUGACGGAGCAACGCCGCGUGUGUGAUGGAGGUCUUCGGAUCGUAAAGCUCUGUUAUUGGGGGAGAACAAAUGUGUAAGUAACUAUGCACGUCUUGACGGUACCUGGUCAGAAAGCCACGGCUAACUACGUG